GCCAGCAUGGUGUAGUGGUUUGUGCAUUGGACUAUGACUCUGAGACCAGGGUUCAAAUCCCCAUUCAGCCA
rnacentral:tRNA from 1 species